rnacentral:tRNA from 1 species
ACCUGGGUGGCUCAGUCGGUUGAGCGUCCGACUUCAGCUCAGGUCAUGAUCUCAUGGUUCGUGGGUUCGAGUUCCGCCUCAAGCC